AUUGAACGCUGGCGGCAUGCCUUACACAUGCAAGUCGAACGGCAGCACGGGAGCUUGCUCCUGGUGGCGAGUGGCGAACGGGUGAGUAAUGCAUCGGAACGUACCCGGAAGUGGGGGAUAACGUAGCGAAAGUUGCGCUAAUACCGCAUAUUCUGUGAGCAGGAAAGAGGGGGAUCGCAAGACCUCUCGCUUUCGGAGCGGCCGAUGUCGGAUUAGCUAGUUGGUGGGGUAAAGGCCUACCAAGGCGACGAUCCGUAGCGGGUCUGAGAGGAGGAUCCGCCACACUGGAACUGAGACACGGUCCAGACUCCUACGGGAGGCAGCAGUGGGGAAUUUUGGACAAUGGGCGAAAGCCUGAUCCAGCCAUGCCGCGUGAGUGAAGAAGGCCUUCGGGUUGUAAAGCUCUUUCGGCUGAAAAGAAAUCGCACAGGCUAAUACCCUGUGUGGAUGACGGUAUCAGCAUAAGAAGCACCGGCUAACUACGUGCCAGCCGCCGCGGUAA
rnacentral:rRNA from 1 species